GACGAACGCUGGCGGCGUGCUUAACACAUGCAAGUCGAACGGUAAGGCCCUUCGGGGUACACGAGUGGCGAACGGGUGAGUAACACGUGGGUGAUCUGCCCUGCACUUCGGGAUAAGCCUGGGAAACUGGGUCUAAUACCGGAUAGGACUCCUGGCUUCAUGGUUGGGGGUGGAAAGCUUUUGCGGUGUGGGAUGGGACCGCGGCCUAUCAGCUUGUUGGUGGGGUAAUGGCCUACCAAGGCGACGACGGGUAGCCGGCCUGAGAGGGUGACCGGUAACACUGGGACGGGGUUACGGCCCAGACUCCUACGGGAGGCAGCAGUGGGGAAUAUUGCACAAUGGGCGCAAGCCUGAUGCAGCGACGCCGCGUGAGGGAUGACGGCCUUCGGGUUGUAAACCUCUUUCAGCUAUGACGAAGCGCAAGUGACGGUAGUAGCAGAAGAAGGACCGGCCAACUACGUGCCAGCCGCCGCCGUAACAC
rnacentral:rRNA from 1 species